rnacentral:rRNA from 1 species
UACAGAGGGGGCAAGCGUUGUUCGGAAUUACUGGGCGUAAAGGGCGCGUAGGCGGCCUGCUAAGUCGAACGUGAAAUCCCCGGGCUCAACCCGGGAACUGCGUCCGAUACUGGAUGGCUUGAGUUUGGGAGAGGGAUGCGGAAUUCCAGGUGUAGCGGUGAAAUGCGUAGAUAUCUGGAGGAACACCGGUGGCGAAGGCGGCAUCCUGGACCAACACUGACGCUGAUGAGCGAAAGCCAGGGGAGCAAACGGG